rnacentral:misc_RNA from 1 species
AACGCAAUUUGCACUUGCUUUGCAAGUAUGUCUGUUUGAGUAUCAUUUAAACCUCUCAACUCAUGUUGAGGAUUUGAGCAUUGUCUCAUUGAUGAGACUUGCUUUAAAUGUAUCUUAAUCAUUGGUUUAUUUAUCCUCAAGCCCUUUUUGGUUGUGUAUUGGAACAAUGUGCCUUUUGUCAAGGGAAGCAGUAUGUCUCUCUACUAAAGGAAUCAACAUUGUUUUAUCAAUCAUCAAGGCAAAAAAAGGAUUCAUAGUCCGUCCCUUUCUUAGCAGAGAGGGAGAAACAAAACUACUCUAUGAUCUCAAAUCAGACAAGAUUACCCGCUGAACUUAA